GAGCUUUCAAUUCCUCUUCUCAAAUGCUUGGAUAUGAGUUGUUUUACUCAGUCAUUCAAGUACUUGUCGUUCAUUCUAAAAUACGUCAACCAUGUACAACCUUAUUUUCAUAAAUACUCAGAUGAAACAGAAAGCGGUCUAGAGCCUUCUAUUCCUUUUCCCGAUUAUUAGGAUACGAGUUGUUUUACUCAAUUAUCUGAGUAUUCGUCAUCCAUUUAAAACACCUUAAUUAUUAUCAAAUCCUUUCUAUAAUUGAGGAUGAAAAAGAAAGUGGUCUAGAG
rnacentral:lncRNA from 1 species